GCGACGCAUGAGAAAUUACAAUCAGCCAUAUAUACACAUACAUUCAUAUGUAUAUACAUACAUAUUUGGCAAUUAUCUUUGCAUACAUAUAAAUGGGUGUGUGUUUUCUUGAGAGUUAUCUUAUGCUUGGUGUGGUUGCUUAUGCGUAAUCUAGCUUUGAGUCGCGCUCACACGAAUUUUUGUUGUUGCUUAUUGUUUCAAUGAAGGAUUUAUCUUGUGAUCAUCUGUCUUUGAUCACCCACCUUUGAAUGGCACCCACUCAAGUUUAUGGUUUACUUGCUCAAGUCUGCGUCCGCGCAACAUAAAUCUGUCUUAUUUAACAGUCGUCUGAAGCUGUUAAAAAUAUUACUUGUACGGAUCGGGAGUAUCGAAUGUCAAUAUUUGAUGAAAAUGCAUUCUGAAGCAUUCUAAACCAAAAUGGCAAUGAUCACAUAAAUCUAGUUUCCAAAUCCAAGUCUGUUCUGAAAACCGAAUUUGUAGACUUGUAACGAGUAUUAAAAGCCCAUGAUCAAAUAGUAAUCAGUAUCGUUGGUACCUAGAUGGCCUCUAUAUCCAUGGAUCAACAGUUAACAAAAUGUGAUUCUAAAUGUUGACCAAAACAGGAAGUGAUUUGGUCCUGAAAUUAAUAUUUUGAUUGUUCUUUCAAUUAAAAGGGAUUUAACGAAUCCCAAAUAUUAUGUCUAUCGAAAA